rnacentral:misc_RNA from 1 species
GAUGAAGAACGUAGCGAAAUGCGAUAAGUAAUGUGAAUUGCAGAAUUCAGUGAAUCAUCGAAUCUUUGAACGCACAUUGCGCCCGCCAGUAUUCUGGCGAGCAUGCCUGUUCGAGCGUCAUUUCAACCAUCAAGCCCCAGGCUUGUGUUGGAGCCCUGCGGCUGCCGCAGCCUCCCAAAACCAGUGGCGGGCUCGCUAUCACACCGAGUGCAGUAGUUUACUCUUCGCUCAGGGCGUGUGGCGGGUGCUAGCCGUGAAACCCCCAACUUCUCAAGGUUGACCUCGGAUCAGGUAGGAAUACCCGCUUAACUUAAGCAUAUCAAUAAGCGGAGGA